GCCCUGAGGUGUAAAUUACAUGUUGAAUUGCAAAUUCAAAGAAGCAGCUUCAAUCCUGCCGGGGCUU
rnacentral:tRNA from 1 species